GUAAACGGCGGCCGUAACUAUAACGGUCCUAAGGUAGCGAAAUUCCUUGUCGGGUAAGUUCCGACCUGCACGAAUGGCGUAAUGAUGGCCAGGCUGUCUCCACCCGAGACUCAGUGAAAUUGAACUCGCUGUGAAGAUGCAGUGUACCCGCGGCAAGACGGAAAGACCCCGUGAACCUUUACUAUAGCUUGACACUGAACAUUGAGCCUUGAUGUGUAGGAUAGGUGGGAGGCUUUGAAGCGUGGACGCCAGUCUGCGUGGAGCCAACCUUGAAAUACCACCCUUUAAUGUUUGAUGUUCUAACGUUGGCCCCUUAUCGGGGUUGCGGACAGUGUCUGGUGGGUAGUUUGACUGGGGCGGUCUCCUCCCAAAGCGUAACGGAGGAGCACGAAGGUUAGCUAAUCCUGGUCGGACAUCAGGAGGUUAGUGCAAUGGCAUAAGCUAGCUUGACUGCGAGCGUGACGGCGCGAGCAGGUGCGAAAGCAGGUCAUAGUGAUCCGGUGGUUCUGAAUGGAAGGGCCAUCGCUCAACGGAUAAAAGGUACUCCGGGGAUAACAGGCUGAUACCGCCCAAGAGUUCAUAUCGACGGCGGUGUUUGGCACCUCGAUGUCGGCUCAUCACAUCCUGGGGCUGAAGUAGGUCCCAAGGGUAUGGCUGUUCGCCAUUUAAAGUGGUACGCGAGCUGGGUUUAGAACGUCGUGAGACAGUUCGGUCCCUAUCUGCCGUGGGCGCUGGAGAAUUGAGGGGGGCUGCUCCUAGUACGAGAGGACCGGAGUGGACGCAUCACUGGUGUUCGGGUUGUCAUGCCAAUGGCACUGCCCGGUAGCUAAAUGCGGAAGAGAUAAGUGCUGAAAGCAUCUAAGCACGAAACUUGCCCCGAGAUGAGUUCUCCCUGAGACUUUAAGUCUCCUGAAGGAACGUUGAAGACGACGACGUUGAUAGGCCGGGUGUGUAAGCGCAGCGAUGCGUUGAGCUAACCGGUACUAAUGAACCGUGAGGCUUAACCUU
rnacentral:rRNA from 1 species